CACACUUCUGUCUGAUACAGAACGUUCGUGCGAGCGGUGGUGCUGUCCCAAACCGUGGACCCUGAUCAAAACGUCUCGCAUAAGCCUCCCCCAGCCGAAGCGUGUACAAAGUGCCUCCCCCACACAGAUCGUCGUCCCGCACUCUGCCGGCCUAUAGAGAGACGGUUGCUCUUCCGGUUGGAUGAUUCCGGCUGGAAACUGCGAAGAAACAUAACGACAACGCGGGCGUACAUAAACAGACACCAUCUAAGCAGCCCGAUCGAGUGAUCGGAAUCGCGGUGCCGAACGUGCGCGUGCGCAUCGAUCUUUCGACGAUCCGCAAGGGGCGCAUCAUAAGCAGCAACCACCCAGGGAACGAGAGAUAACCGGCAAAUUGCAUCAUCACCAUCAGCAUCAGCAACUGCAACAGCAGCAAAAUGCCUGUGUUUCACACGAAAACGAUCGAGAGCAUCUUGGAGCCAGUGGCCCAGCAGGUCUCCCGGCUGGUCAUACUCCACGAAGAGGCGGAAGAUGGCAACGCAAUGCCCGAUCUGGGCAAACCAGUGCUAGCGGUAUCAGUGGCGGUGACGAACCUUGUGCGCGUCGGACGUGAAACGAUACAGAACUCGGACGACGACAUACUGAAGCAGGAUAUGCCCGCGUCGCUAACGCGCGUGGAAACGGCGGCACAGCUCCUGGAGGAAGCGUCGCUCAUGCUGCGGUCCGAUCCAUUCUCCGGCCCGGCACGCAAGAAGCUGAUCGAGGGUUCGCGCGGCAUCCUGCAGGGCACGUCCUCGCUGCUGCUGUGCUUCGACGAGUCCGAGGUGCGCAAGAUCGUGCGUGAGUGCAAGCGCGUGCUCGACUAUCUGGCCGUGUCGGAGGUGAUCGAUUCGAUGGAGGAUCUGGUGCAGUUCCUGAAGGAUCUGUCCCCGUGUCUGAGCAAGGUAACGGCGCAGGUGGGUGCGCGCGAGAAGGAGCUGACGCACCAGGUGCACAGCGAGAUUCUGGUGCGCUGUCUGGAGCAGCUGAAGAUACUGGCACCGAUCCUGAUCUGCAGCAUGAAGGUGUACAUCCUGAUCGCGGAGCAGAGCGGCAAGGGUUCGGAGGAGGCGGCCGAAAACAGGAACUAUCUUGCUUCGCGCAUGAGCGAGGAGCUGCAGGAAAUCAUUCGCGUGCUGCAGCUCACCACGUACGACGAGGACCAGAGCGAGCUGGACAAUCUGACCGUGCUGAAGAAGAUACAGAACGCGAUCCGCAACAAGCUGGAGGCGGCCAACGAGUGGCUGCGCAACCCGUACGCGCUGCGCGGUGGCGUGGGCGAGAAGGCACUGCGCCAGAUCGUGGAGAAUGGGUUGAAGGUGGCCGAUCGCUGCCUGCCGCAGGACUCGCACAUUCUGCGCAAACUGGCCGGUGACAUUACGGCCAUGACCAACACGCUGUGCGAUCUGCGCCAGGAGGGCAAGGGCACGACGCCGCAUGCGGAUAACAUUGCGCGGGACAUUCGCGAUAAGCUGGGCAGCUUGGAUCAGUCGGUGCUGAAUGCGAUCAUGGGCGUGGACAAGGCCGGGCUGCAGCAGACGGCGCACACGGUGCAGGGCCGGCUGGAGCAGGCUUGCCGCUGGCUGCAGAAUCCUGCCCGUGACGACCGGGGGCUGGGUGUGCGAGCGAUCGCGCUGAUCGUGGACGAGGGUCGGCGCGUUGCGGACGGACUGGGUGGGCAUCAGAAGGCGGAGAUGGCCCAGCUGUGUGAUGAGGUUGAGCAGCUGGCGCACGACUUUUCGCAGAUGUGCAACAACGGUCUCGGCCAUACGCCCCAGGCGCAGGAGCUGGCACGCCGGCUGAACGAGAAGCUGCACGGGCUGAAGAAGCAGAUCCAGGACGCGGUGGUGAACCGCGUGGUCGAGGACUUUAUCGAUAUCUCGACACCGCUGAAGCAGUUCAUGGAGGCGGUGGCGCAGCCGGAAGGAACGCCGGGACGGGAGCAAAACUUCAACCAGAAGUCGAACCGGCUGCAGGCGUUCAGCAACCGUGCGUCGAAGACGAGCCGGAUGGUGGCGGCGGGCGGUUCGGGUGGCAACAAGAAGCUGGCCGAGGGUCUGCUCGCGUCCGCCAACCAGAUCGACAGCUUGACGCCGCAGCUCGUGUCGGCCGGCCGGAUCCGGAUGAACUACCCGACCAGCAAAGCGGCCGAGGAGCACUUGAACAAUCUGAAGCAGCAGUACGCCGACACGAUCCUGCGUAUGCGUACGCUCUGCGACCAGGCGACGGAUCCGGCCGACUUUAUCGAAGCGUCCGAGAAGCAGAUGCAGAAACAUUCGUUUUUGUGCGACGACGCAAUCCGUACGCGUCAGCCGCAGAAGAUGGUCGACAACACGUCGAGCGAGGCGCGUCUCGCCAACCGUGUGCUGCUGGUGGCCAAACAGGAAGCGGACAACUCGGAGGAUCCGGAGUACAUUGACCGGCUGAAUGGAGCUUCGGAUCAGCUGCAGGCGUCGAUUUCGCCCAUGGUACAGGAGGCAAAGAACGUUUCCACCAACAUUAGCGACCCGAUAGCGGCGUCGAACUGGCGCGAAGCGAACCGGGCACUGCUGCAGAGCGUCCGCAAUGUGCGCGGCGCUGUCACACACGCGCCCACCGUACCGGAGAUGCCGGAUCUUUCGCAGCUGCAGCUGGGUGGUGGUUCGCACGAAGUCGUACCACCGCCGCGACCUCCGCUACCGCGCGAGAAUGUCCCACCGAUGCGGCCACCGCCGCCGGUCGCCGAGACGGACGACGAGGAUGACGUGUUCCAGGCGGGCAGCAUGCCCCACGCCAACCAGCCGAUCCUGAUGGCCGCCCACGGUCUGCACCAGGAGGUGCGCCAGUGGUCGUCCAAGGACAACGAGAUCAUUGCGGCGGCCAAGCGUAUGGCCGUGCUGAUGGCCCGUCUGUCCGAGCUGGUGCGAGCGGAUUCGAAGGGCAGCAAGCGCGAGCUGAUUGCAACGGCCAAGCAGAUCGCCGAGGCGUCGGAGGAUGUGACGCGCUUGGCGAAGCAGCUCGCCCGUCAGUGUACGGACAAGCGCAUCCGCACCAAUCUGCUGCAGGUGUGCGAACGUAUACCGACCAUCGGCACGCAGCUCAAGAUUCUGUCCACGGUGAAGGCCACCAUGCUCGGUGCGCAGGGCUCGGAGGAGGAUCGCGAAGCAACGGAGAUGCUCGUUGGAAACGCGCAGAAUCUCAUGCAGAGUGUCAAGGAAACGGUCCGAGCGGCUGAAGGUGCCAGCAUCAAGAUCCGAUCGGACCAAACCAACCAACGGCUACGCUGGGUACGUCGACAGCCCUGGUAUCAGUACUAAGGGAUCCUUUUCCCGAUCCCCGCACUAGCACCCCCCCUCGCCCCCCUCCGUAACCGUUCAUCGUUGUCCCGUUACUGUUUUUGUGCAACUGUGUUCCCGCACGACCGAAUUCCGUGUCUUCCAUGUUGCGUUUUAUUUUAUUUUUAAAUCUGUCCGUUGUCCCCUAAAACUCGUUGUGUGUUGCCUCCGUACGCAAAGCAGCUGAAAGUUUAAUUAUUUUACAAGAUGAAUUUAAGCCCGUACUGAUCCGAUGCAAUGCAAAAAUGAAGGAAUGAUUAGCAGAGGGGACAUCCGCGAUGCUGCAACCAGGGCAGACUAAACACACGCACGCACCCUACUAUGGUUCUCCCCAUCGUGGUCAUUUGAUGGCAGCUGGAGAGGGAACGUGGCAGAAAGAUACGUAGAAGAACCUUUUGUAACCUUCAAACCUUCAAACGAAAGUGGAUAGAACUGUAACUAUAUAUAUUAACAAGUGCCUAUUUAUUGUUGUAAUACUGACGCAACACACAUUUGCAUUCUAUGUUCUCUUUUUCUACCAAUUGUUUUUAUUUCCUUUUUUCUUCAAGUUGUAGAAAUAUAUUUAAAAAAAAGCUACUAACA